CCCUCUCGCCCAAAUCCCUAGCUCUCGCUCAUAAAUUCCAUCCACUCUUGCUCUCGCUUUUGCUCUCGCCAAUAGUCUCUGCAGCGCAGCCCUCUCGCUCUCGCUCGUCCCUCCACUCUCGCCACUCUCGCUCUCGCACAUAAAGUCCCCUCUCGCUUUAUGUUUAUUGUGUGGUGGUUUAAUAUUUGGUGAUUGAUCUUUGUUAAUAAGAAUUAUUGGUACAGAAAGUUCACUUUGGUAAAUUGAUAGUCUUCGACACCAUUAUUGUCCUCCUGUUUCAAGGUUAGUUUUAUGCCUAGUAUCCCCAUACAAUCAAGUGUGUGAAGUGUUCAAGAGAGAGCUUGGCAUGACACCGGAUAAGUUGCUGGAUGAAUUGAAGAAGAAGAAUCCUAAUAAUGAAGUCCAUCUCAACAACGUAUAUUACAUCUCUUAAUCUCUCAAACCCUCCCAAAUUUGUAGACAAAUAAAAUUGUGUUGCCCUUAUACGGAAGAUUCUGUUGCCCUUGUAAAAUCAUAAUCUUUAUAUUACUUGUAAUUUAUGUUUUCAAGGCUUGAAUUAUUGUACGCCUUUUAAAUUAUAAUUCUAUAGCAAAAUUUGUGGAUUAAAUGUAAUAG